GAUGAAGAACGUAGCAAAAUGCGAUAAGUAAUGUGAAUUGCAGAAUUCAGUGAAUCAUCGAAUCUUUGAACGCACGUUGCGCCCGCUGGUAUUCCGGCGGGCAUGCCUGUUCGAGCGUCAUUUCAACCCUCAAACCCCCCGGGUUUGGUGUUGGGGAUCGGCUCUGCCUCACGGCGGUGCCGCCCCCGAAAUACAUUGGCGGUCUCGCUGCAGCCUCCAUUGCGUAGUAGCUAACACCUCGCAACUGGAACGCGGCGCGGCCAUGCCGUAAAACCCCAACUUCUGAAUGUUGACCUCGGAUCAGGUAGGAAUACCCGCUGAACUUAAGCAUAUCAAUAAGCGGAGGA
rnacentral:misc_RNA from 1 species